AGAACGAACGCUGGCGGCAGGCUUAACACAUGCAAGUCGAGCGCCCCGCAAGGGGGAGCGGCAGACGGGUGAGUAACGCGUGGGAAUCUACCCAUCACUACGGAACAACUCCGGGAAACUGGAGCUAAUACCGUAUACGUCCUUCGGAGAAAGAUUUAUCGGUGAUGGAUGAGCCCGCGUUGGAUUAGCUAGUUGGUGGGUAAUGGCCUACCAAGGCGACGAUCCAUAGCUGGUCUGAGAGGAUGAUCAGCCACAUUGGGACUGAGACACGGCCCAAACUCCUACGGGAGGCAGCAGUGGGGAAUAUUGGACAAUGGGCGAAAGCCUGAUCCAGCCAUGCCGACGUGAGUGAUAGAAGGCCCUAAGGGGUUGUAAAGCUUACGUUUCGAACGGUUGAAACGAUAAUUGGAACGGUUAACCGUAGAACGAACGGCCCCGGAUAACCGUUCGCGACCAGCCAAGCCGUAC
rnacentral:rRNA from 1 species